rnacentral:lncRNA from 1 species
GCUACUAUACUAUUACACCUCAAUUAUACCAACCAAAUUGAGCAUCCAAGGCAUUUGAAUUAUUCUAUAAAUAGAGAUUAAGUGAGGAUUAAGCUCAUUUGUACACUAAAAUUGCCCAACUCUUCUAGCUAUGCUCUCUCAACCUCUUAGCUCCCAAAAACACUUGCCCAUACACUCCUAAGCAUAGCCCCACGAUCACAAGCAUCAAAAAC